rnacentral:rRNA from 4 species
GAGAUUAAGCUUCAGUUGUCCGAUUUG